rnacentral:lncRNA from 10 species
AGUACAAAGGCUGUUUGAAUUGCUCAUUCUCGUUAUCUGAUUAAUCCGGUAUAAUUGAAGAUCAUCUGGUUUAUUCACAUAAGCAGAGGAUAGUCUUUCUCUGUGUGCAUGGCUGAAGAACUUCAACCUGCCUGUGAUGUAAAUGCCAGAGGAAGAAACCAAGGCCCAAACAAGAAAAGGAGUGAACAGCAAGUAAAUCACAGAGCUCUCCUUCUUACCUGGCUAAUAUUCCCUACGGUGCCCUUCACACUGAUGUAUGAACUCAAGACAGGCCCACUUCUCUGCAGAAGAAUGUCCUAAUAUCAAAAAUGUGUCUCUGAUGAAUGUUGGACCAAAGGGAGUAAACAGAACCCAAGACAUCUAACAAAAUGUUCCCCAGAAUUAAGAUGAACACCAAAGAGAAUAGAUAAUUUUAUGGAAACUAUGUUGGUGGGAUCCACUUCCAGCUGUGUGUGUCUGCACACCUCAUUCCUCUUGGUCGUGAGACAAGAACUCAGAACUUGCUGAAAUGCAGAAGUGAAAGAGCAGUAUCACUCCAUCCUGCUGAACUACGGGAGUGAAGAAGCCACAGUAGGACUUUACUAGAAGUGAGGAUUGGAGAACAGAAUCUUUCCAAAAGGAACACCUCGAAUACUCACUUCAUCAAGUCUCUGCAGACCAAAACCCAUCUCUGCUAACCAUACCCAUCUUAAAGAUACAGGAACAACUGCCAUGUUGUGGAGAGAGCAGAAAACAGCAGGCAAUCUCCCAGCCCUGAGAAUGGCCUCCUCUUCCCAACAGCCAGCAGGAAGGCUGGAAUCUCAGUCCUACGACCAAAAGAAACUCUAUUCUAACAGGCCAAAUCAGUCUGGAAGAAGAUCUUAAGCUUCAGGUGGAAGGAUGAAUCCAAUUCCUGUUAUAUCAUUUUGGCCAGUAAAGAAAACUAACACAAGAACAGAAAACCAAACAUCGCAUGUUCUCACUCAUAAGUGGGAGUUGAACAAUGAGAACACUUGGCCCCCGGGAGGGUGGACAUCCCACACUGGGGCCUGUCGGGGGGUGGGGGGCUAGGGGAGGGAUAGCAUUAGGAGAAAUACCUAAUGUAUAUGACGGGUUGAUGGGUGCAGCAAACCACCAUGGCACGUGUAUACCUAUGUAACAAACCUGCACGUCCUGCACAUGUACCCCAGAACUUAAAAUAUAAUAAAAAAAGAAGGCACAACUUUUAUUUUUUUUAGCAUUUCUUUUGUAAGCAUGUGUUUUAUAUACUUUAUGCUAUGCAGACAUUAGUCAGUGUUUUUAGCAACUUCCAGAAAAUACAUGAGGAGAGUGUACUUUUGAAGCUAAAAUACAUGGCUUCAAUUAUGUUUUGAAAUGAAAGACUUUUGUUGUAAAAUUGUUGAAUUCUUCAUUAAAUGACUCGGGUUUUAAGACAGCUGUAAUAAUAACUAACAUUACAUUACUAAUGUGAUUAUGAUCUUCCUGUGUAUUACAAACUAUAUUUCAUGCUGGGUGAUGGGACUUAGGGCUUACUGUGAGAUGAUUCUAGCUUCAUAGCCCAGAUUGCUGGUUAUUAGACUCCAGCUCAUACGGCAUCACUCUUUCUUAUUCUUAGCAAGAACAUGGACAAGUUUUCAUUUUCAGUGUACCUUCCUCACCCUACAGAACGGUUGAGAGGUUAUAUCUUAGGCCUGUUAAAAUCAUGGUUGCUUUCAGCCGGGCCAGUGGCUUAUGCCUGUAAUCCCACCACCUUGGAAGGCUGAGGCGGGAGGAUCAUGAGGUCAGGAGAUCGAGA